GGUACAACAUCAAUCUGCUUGCAUACAAUGAGCAAGACACCGUCCUGAAAGCAGCAGUGUGUUGCCUUUGGUCCGAGGAAGGAAUGCGACGAGAACAGAAACAGAACUCAGGUUUUGGCUGAGGUUAUUCUAAACAUCAGAAUUUAUAAGUUUGCCAGUUACAAGUUUGGACCUAUUUUCUUUGCAUCUGAACCAGCCUGCAAGCAAAAGAUCAAGGCCGCACGUCAAUCUCCCAAGGAAGCUACUUGCAUUCUCCGCAGCUAGAAAGCUUUCAAAGCAACACGCCCAAAUAAACUGGCAAGACAACUGGGAACCUAUUCCAGACUGGAACACUGCAUUCAAACCUAGAAGUUGAGCGUCAGAGAAACACAAGAGAAUUGGGCAAGACAGCAGCCACUGUUUUCUGUAAUACAACAUCUAAAUUCCAAGGCAGAUGCACCUCUUCAAAAAACACCAUAGCUACUUACAGAGGAGGUCAAUGUUUCUUCCCCUCUUUCCCCUUCAGUUGCAUUUUUAUUGCGUAUAAAAUCACAUAUACAUACACAGGCAGCUCCAGCAACUUGAAGAAGAAUAUGUAUUAAACACAGAAUAAGGCUACUUCUAAAAUAAGAUAGAUCUUUUCUCACAAAAGUAGCCUUCCUAAAAGCUGAAAGAUCAUGCCACCCGUUUCAUUAUAGACGGAUGCAGAAAGGCCGUGGAGACCAACCAAGAAAGAAACAGGAUCCUCAAACGUUUCCUUAAAAUAAAAUAGUCCUUCCCAAUGAACAGCACUACCACGCAAAGCGGAGCAGGACAGACACUAGCGAGUCAGGAAUAUUCUUCAGAUAUCAGAGUAAUUGGAAAAUCAGCAACAUACAGCUAUACUUAGUAAACAAGUUGGGCUGAAACUACUGAGGAUGAAUAGAAAAGGCACCUCACCGAGAGACAAAAUAACAAAAAGUAACAAAAAAUCCUAUUCCAUCUAACUCCAGUAAGAAGUCUUAGAGCAGAAAGCUUAAGAGGAGCGUUGUAUUACUCACUGAUGGCAUGAAGCACGAAUACUUACAACAUAGAGCCAGAAGAAAAAAAUAUAUAGAUAGAUACAAGAAGGGAAAGGAGAGUAGAAAGGAAGCAUGAAAACGUUACAUGUGUUCCAAGAUUUAGCAAUAAACUCAGGCCUUUAAUCUCUCUGGUGUCUCUCUUCACAUCCCACCCCUCCAGCAGCACCGCACUUUUCCUACCACUGCCUGCCUGAACCAUCAGCUCUGACCACCAGCUUGUCCACUAACACCGCCUUUUAAGCGGAGUGCACACAAGGUAUGUUUCUUAAAAACGACUCAAAGCUCUCAGAAGAGCUUCUACGUCACCCCGUCGGGUUUCAAGGUAUCCAUCCUUCAGCACCCCAUGGAAGAAAACCAAAAUUCUACACUGUUUUAAAGAAACAAGUGGAAUCAGAAGGAUCAACAAUUCCUCCUUAAACUAUACUAAUGAGCACAAGCACUAACACAGAGACGAAAAAUGAGGCAAAUAGUGGCUCCACUGGAGCUAGGAAGUAACUGGGAAAAAGAUUUCUUGAAAAGGGAGUAAGGGAAGCUCUUAUAAAUAGCUGUUUAUUAGGCAAUUCUGAUCUUUCUGAACAAAACAACUGUCCCUACUAGAAACGUUCACCAUGAGCCAGAGCACAGAGACCUGCACAGUCAUCAUAUAUACCAUACGUUAUAAAACGAGUUACCCUCUAACACCUUCCCCAUUGCCUUAUAUGCAGGUAAAACAGGAACAACAUUCUUAGCCUUGAAAUUACCUUCAUUAAGAAUUUGACUUAGUAAGGACUUAAAGUAAAAAGGUUAAAUUUCACUUUAGUAAUGGCUAGAAACCACACUAAGAAGGGAAACAACUCCUUAAUAACAAGGAGUGGCAUGCAGAAUCCUGCUCUACAGUAACGGUAUAAUUAGCAAAAUAAUUCUGCUUACAAAAAAAAUAAAAGAUGCAUCUGAGGAUUUUUAAGAGUGCUGUUCUUGAUCAAUAUUUCUUCUUACAUACAUCACGACAUACACCACCAAAAAAAAAUCCUUUGAGAGUAGGCUUCUCAGGCAAGAGAGAUAUCUGUCAUAUAACUAUUCUUCCCAAAAACAUUCAGUUAAAGAGUAUGAAAUAUAUACAAAAUUAUCCUCAGCAUCCCAGGUAUUAAAAAUACUUCUAAAAAAGAGAGAAGAGAGUCUCUCUAUUACACCGUGUGCAUUUCAUCUUUUGCUUCUUGUUUUUUCUAAAGCAAAAGUGUCAUUCACAACCAGGCCAAAAAGAUCAUUUGCAGAAAGAUCACUUUUUCAACAUACAAUCCUUUACUUCUGAGCUGGCUACAGAACGAGGGUUCCUACUCACUGCCCAUUAACUAAAGCCUGUUUUAACAAAAGGCGAGCUACCACCGAGCUUCUGAAGCUUGUCUUCCUUGCUACUGUACUUUAAUCACCCCUGGCACCAAUCAAGGUCAUCUUUCUCAGGCAGGAUAGACUUAUGUUCUGCCAAAGUUUUUAUUUUUAAGAAAACUAGCACACUGACAAUAGCAUAUAGCAAUCUCAUGAACUAAGCCCUGUGAAUGAAGCUGAACCUACUGCUGCUAUGAAGACCUUCACCACACACGCUUCUGAAGUCUAGAAAGGCAGCCAUUAAAAAAAACUGAGUAAUUUUUUGCCUUCAUAUUCUAGCACAAAUAAAUGACAAACAACCAAACUUGCCAUAGCUAGUCAUUCCACAUGUUCAUUUUUCUCUGUACUGAGCCCAGCCACAGAUGAAUCACGAAACACACUCUUCUUACGCUCCUGAAACUAAGAGCUCAGACAACCACAAGCCAGCACCAAAAAUCCUCUCGGCUGGAGUCCUCGGGGGGCCCCCCCCUCUAACUGCCAGUUUACCCCUGGGGAGUUCAGGGAAGGUUUGAAAGGUUUUAGUGAAGCCACAGGUUCAGGAGACGCUUUGGCUCUUCAAACCCAGGAGAGCAGCACACUCUCAUA